rnacentral:miRNA from 1 species
AGGCGCACCCGACCACAUGC